UCCAGAGAUUUCCGAAUGGGGAAACCCAGCAUGAGUUAUGUCAUGUUAUCGAUAUGUGAAUACAUAGCAUAUCAGAAGGCACACCCGGAGAACUGAAACAUCUUAGUACCCGGAGGAAGAGAAAGAAAAUUCGAUUCCCUUAGUAGCGGCGAGCGAAAUGGGAAGAGCCCAAACCAACAAGCUUGCUUGUUGGGGUUGUAGGACACUCUAUACGGAGUUACAAAGGACGACAUUAGACGAAUCAUCUGGAAAGAUGAAUCAAAGAAGGUAAUAAUCCUGUAGUCGAAAAUGUUGUCUCUCUUGAGUGGAUCCUGAGUACGACGGAGCACGUGAAAUUCCGUCGGAAUCUGGGAGGACCAUCUCCUAAGGCUAAAUACUCUCUAGUGACCGAUAGUGAACCAGUACCGUGAGGGAAAGGUGAAAAGCACCCCGGAAGGGGAGUGAAAUAGAACCUGAAACCGUGUGCUUACAAGUAGUCAGAGCCCGUUAAUGGGUGAUGGCGUGCCUUUUGUAGAAUGAACCGGCGAGUUACGAUUUGAUGCAAGGUUAAGCAGUAAAUGUGGAGCCGUAGCGAAAGCGAGUCUGAAUAGGGCGUUUAGUAUUUGGUCGUAGACCCGAAACCAGGUGAUCUACCCUUGGUCAGGUUGAAGUUCAGGUAACACUGAAUGGAGGACCGAACCGACUUACGUUGAAAAGUGAGCGGAUGAACUGAGGGUAGCGGAGAAAUUCCAAUCGAACCUGGAGAUAGCUGGUUCUCUCCGAAAUAGCUUUAGGGCUAGCCUCAAGUGAUGAUUAUUGGAGGUAGAGCACUGUUUGGACGAGGGGCCCCUCUCGGGUUACCGAAUUCAGACAAACUCCGAAUGCCAAUUAAUUUAACUUGGGAGUCAGAACAUGGGUGAUAAGGUCCGUGUUCGAAAGGGAAACAGCCCAGACCACCAGCUAAGGUCCCAAAAUAUAUGUUAAGUGGAAAAGGAUGUGGCGUUGCCCAGACAACUAGGAUGUUGGCUUAGAAGCAGCCAUCAUUUAAAGAGUGCGUAAUAGCUCACUAGUCGAGUGACACUGCGCCGAAAAUGUACCGGGGCUAAACAUAUUACCGAAGCUGUGGAUUGUCCUUUGGACAAUGGUAGGAGAGCGUUCUAAGGGCGUUGAAGCAUGAUCGUAAGGACAUGUGGAGCGCUUAGAAGUGAGAAUGCCGGUGUGAGUAGCGAAAGACGGGUGAGAAUCCCGUCCACCGAUUGACUAAGGUUUCCAGAGGAAGGCUCGUCCGCUCUGGGUUAGUCGGGUCCUAAGCUGAGGCCGACAGGCGUAGGCGAUGGAUAACAGGUUGAUAUUCCUGUACCACCUAUAAUCGUUUUAAUCGAUGGGGGGACGCAGUAGGAUAGGCGAAGCGUGCGAUUGGAUUGCACGUCUAAGCAGUAAGGCUGAGUAUUAGGCAAAUCCGGUACUCGUUAAGGCUGAGCUGUGAUGGGGAGAAGACAUUGUGUCUUCGAGUCGUUGAUUUCACACUGCCGAGAAAAGCCUCUAGAUAGAAAAUAGGUGCCCGUACCGCAAACCGACACAGGUAGUCAAGAUGAGAAUUCUAAGGUGAGCGAGCGAACUCUCGUUAAGGAACUCGGCAAAAUGACCCCGUAACUUCGGGAGAAGGGGUGCUCUUUAGGGUUAACGCCCAGAAGAGCCGCAGUGAAUAGGCCCAAGCGACUGUUUAUCAAAAACACAGGUCUCUGCUAAACCGUAAGGUGAUGUAUAGGGGCUGACGCCUGCCCGGUGCUGGAAGGUUAAGAGGAGUGGUUAGCUUCUGCGAAGCUACGAAUCGAAGCCCCAGUAAACGGCGGCCGUAACUAUAACGGUCCUAAGGUAGCGAAAUUCCUUGUCGGGUAAGUUCCGACCCGCACGAAAGGCGUAACGAUUUGGGCACUGUCUCAACGAGAGACUCGGUGAAAUCAUAGUACCUGUGAAGAUGCAGGUUACCCGCGACAGGACGGAAAGACCCCGUGGAGCUUUACUGUAGCCUGAUAUUGAAAUUCGGCACAGCUUGUACAGGAUAGGUAGGAGCCUUUGAAACGUGAGCGCUAGCUUACGUGGAGGCGCUGGUGGGAUACUACCCUAGCUGUGUUGGCUUUCUAACCCGCACCACUUAUCGUGGUGGGAGACAGUGUCAGGCGGGCAGUUUGACUGGGGCGGUCGCCUCCUAAAAGGUAACGGAGGCGCUCAAAGGUUCCCUCAGAAUGGUUGGAAAUCAUUCAUAGAGUGUAAAGGCAUAAGGGAGCUUGACUGCGAGACCUACAAGUCGAGCAGGGUCGAAAGACGGACUUAGUGAUCCGGUGGUUCCGCAUGGAAGGGCCAUCGCUCAACGGAUAAAAGCUACCCCGGGGAUAACAGGCUUAUCUCCCCCAAGAGUUCACAUCGACGGGGAGGUUUGGCACCUCGAUGUCGGCUCAUCGCAUCCUGGGGCUGUAGUCGGUCCCAAGGGUUGGGCUGUUCGCCCAUUAAAGCGGUACGCGAGCUGGGUUCAGAACGUCGUGAGACAGUUCGGUCCCUAUCCGUCGUGGGCGUAGGAAAUUUGAGAGGAGCUGUCCUUAGUACGAGAGGACCGGGAUGGACAUACCUCUGGUGUACCAGUUGUCGUGCCAACGGCAUAGCUGGGUAGCUAUGUGUGGACGGGAUAAGUGCUGAAAGCAUCUAAGCAUGAAGCCCCCCUCAAGAUGAGAUUUCCCAACUUCGGUUAUAAGAUCCCUCAAAGAUGAUGAGGUUAAUAGGUUCGAGGUGGAAGCAUGGUGACAUGUGGAGCUGACGAAUACUAAUCGAUCGAAGACUUAAUCAA
rnacentral:rRNA from 1 species